CACUUUUUGCAUUGAAAAAAGAAAAAUACAAUGAUACAGUUUGGUACUUCAAAAAGUUAUAUACCUUUUCAAAAUAGAGGUUACCAAUCUAAUCCAAACUUUCAAUUCACCAAUAUAAGUCCAUCAAGAGAGAUAAGUCAAUAACAUACCUAUAAUUUUGAAUUUGCUAAGUAGCUUCUCUUUGCUCGGAUGCUUCUCCAUCGUGACUCAAACUGAGCAACUUCUCAUCCUUUGUCCAUCUCCAUACUAAAUUCUUUGGGAACCUCUUCCUCAUCCCAUCAAUCACCAUCUUUGCCUCCUCAACCUUCGCCAACUCCUCCACCAAAAGCCUCACUGUUUGAAAAAUCUAGAACCUUACUAUGCUAACCACAUCAGAAAAAAUAAAGGAAAAACAUCAUCAACAACAAAAUAUACAGAAGAAUCCAAACGAAUGCCAAAAAAAAAAAGAAAAAAAAGAGAUCUACGUUGCCCUGCCAUAAUGGGAGCUCAUAGAGAUCUUGGAAAGCCCACCAUUUCCUUCUAAAAUUUGGACACCUGGAGAAUAUGUUCUUUGAUGCAAGCUCGCCAUAGCGGUUUUAAAGUUCUAGACCAAAAGAAUCAAAGAAAGAGAUUCAAGUUCGCUAAAAAUUCAAC
rnacentral:lncRNA from 1 species